UACGGAGGGUGCGAGCGUUGUCCGGAAUUAUUGGGCGUAAAGAGCUCGUAGGCGGUCUGUCGCGUCGGCUGUGAAAACUCGGGGCUCAACUCCGAGCUUGCAGUCGAUACGGGCAGGCUAGAGUUCGGCAGGGGAGACUGGAAUUCCUGGUGUAGCGGUGAAAUGCGCAGAUAUCAGGAGGAACACCGGUGGCGAAGGCGGGUCUCUGGGCCGAUACUGACGCUGAGGAGCGAAAGCGUGGGGAGCGAACAGG
rnacentral:rRNA from 1 species